GCCGUGGCGACGGGUCGCCACGCUAUACUAAGGUAUACAUAUAUAUAUUUUAUGUGUAGUAGAGUGUACGGUGUGGCGACGGGUCGCCACGCUAUACUGAGUAGAGUGUACGGUGUGGCUUCUCACUCAGUUCGACGUUGUUGUUUACUACGGUACACAUAACCUGCGUUUUAUUUAAUUUUGAUGUGAAACAUUUUUAUUUUAAUUUUUGACAAUAAAAUAUGUGUGAUAGUGAUAACUCAGAAGAUCAAAGUGAUCAACCUUGUGCAAAGAAAGUGAAACUACACUAUGGCAUACUACCAAGUCAUCAUUCCCAACAAUCAUCACAGGGAUCACAAAAUAUUAUUAUUGAAACUGGACGCCACCCUGAUCAGUUAAACACAAGGCAUACUAUCAAUGUUGUGUAAGACUUUAUUAAUCGAAUAGUACCAGACUAUUUUAAUUUUUAUCUUAGAUCUGGCCGCUGGAGUGGCCAUUUACAAAAACAACAACACUUCACAUGUUACUACACUCAACAUGGAUCUAGCAGUUCAAAAUGCUACAGAAGUUCAUGUUUCCGAAACAUCUAUUGAUGAUAUGUGUGCUUCACAUGUUAAACUAUAAGACGGAAGUGAAUUAAUUAUGAUUGUAGUAUACAUUUCACCUAAUAACAAAAUGGAUCAUAUAAUUUCAUUUUUAUAUGAAAGGUUAUUUCCUUAUAGUCAAAGAGGUUCAAUAAUUUUUAAAACGAAUAAACAUAAACUACCAUUAAUUUUAGCUGGAGAUUUUAAUGUAAAUUUUGCAAGAGCUGAAUCAAUGCCAUUACAAUCCAAGAGAAUCUACUACCAAAUAUGGAACAACAAUAGAUGCUGUAUUUGUGAGAUAUCUUGAUAAUGUUUCAUCCAAUACUUUUGUAACGUACUUUAGUUAUCAUCGACCAAUCGUCACAGUAAUACCGGCAGAGGAAACAUCGAAUAUAACUAUUACUGAAGUCACAGAUGAAAAUAUUUAAAUUGUGGCCACUUGAUAUUAAUAUCGAAUUUUUAUAUCACAUGUAAAUAAAUGUUUAUUAA
rnacentral:lncRNA from 1 species